AAGCGGUUAAAGGAGAGAAAGGGGAUCGUGGACCAUCAGGCACACUUGAUAUCUCAGGAGCCGGGUCCACCUUGGACAUCUACACGUUACGGAAUGAGUUGAAAGGUGAAACGGGCAGUCCGGGCUUCAAAGGAGAGAAAGGAGAACCGGCCGGAGGAUAUUAUGACCCCCGAUAUGGAGGGAGCGGAACCGGAGUGCCUGGACCUCCUGGCCCAAGAGGCGACUCCAUCGUUGGCCCUCCAGGACCUGAGGGGCCCUCUGGUCAACCAGGAAGAGGCUAUGAUGGUCAAGCUGGACCACCAGGGCCGCCCGGACCUCCAGGAGAAUCCAUACCUGGAUCUUACAGAGGCACACAGAGUGAGUUAUGAUCAUAAACACACCCAGAUAUACACCAUCAAUUUUAUUAGUAGUACCGUACUUAGUACUUUAAUCUACCCACCACUGAGAUGAAGUCUGAGUUCUAUCAUAUGACCCCCCCCCCCCCCCUUUGAAUGACAGCUAUCAAUAUUCCUGGACCCCCGGGACCACCUGGAGUGCCUGGAAUACCUGGACACUCCUCAGGGGUGAGAAAAAUUGUUCACACUGUCAGAUUCUCUGCUUAUUAUCUAAAAAUACAUCAUGAAAUACACAUACCACUGUGACUGCAGCAGCUUUGUUUACUUUAAGAGUGUUUUUGUGUUUGUAGGUGACAG
rnacentral:lncRNA from 1 species